rnacentral:misc_RNA from 1 species
UCAAGUGCCACAAUAUAAUCCAAGGCAGCUAAGCGAUUCUGAUAUGGCUUGAACGGUUCUAACUCUUCUGUGGUUGCUAGAGUAGAAUGAGUAAAAACGUUUGGGAACUCUGCUCGGAAGGCUGCCAAGCUAUUGCUACCAUAUNNNNNNNNAUUUUUCCUGCAACUAUGUAGAUAGUUGUAGAGGAAGGGUAUCCCAUACCCUUUAGAAACAGGGCUGCUUCUCUGGGAGACAUUGGACAUCCACCCUGAAGUCGCCUUUCUUUGC